ensembl:snRNA U4 U4 spliceosomal RNA
AGCUUUGUGUGGCAGUAUCAUAGUCAAUGAGUUUUAUCCGAGGCGCGAUUAAUGGAAUUGAAAACUUUUUCCAAAACCCCACUAGGACGAGGUAAAAUUUAGCCAGCACUCGCAAUUUUUGGCCAUCGCUAUGGGGA